rnacentral:rRNA from 1 species
UACGGAGGGUCCAAGCGUUAUCCGGAAUCAUUGGGUUUAAAGGUCCGUAGGCGGACCAGUAAGUCAGUGGUGAAAUCUCCCGGCUCAACCGGGAAAUGGCCAUUGAUACUGCUGGUCUUGAAUUAUUAGGAAGUAACUAGAAUAUGUAGUGUAGCGGUGAAAUGCUUAGAUAUUACAUGGAAUACCGAUUCGAAGGCAGGUUACUACUAAUGGAUUGACGCCUAUGGACGAAAGCGUGGGUAGCGAACGGG